rnacentral:rRNA from 1 species
CACGUAGGGGGCAAGCGUUGGCCGGAUUUCUUGGGCGUAAAGAGCGUGUAGGCGGCCAGGUAGGUCGGUUGUGAAAACUGGAGGCUCAACCUUCAGACGUCGACCGAAACCCCCUGGCUAGAGUCCGGAAGAGGAGAGUGGAAUUCCUGGUGUAGCGGUGAAAUGCGCAGAUAUCAGGAAGAACACCCGUGGCGAAGGCGGCUCUCUGGGACGGUACUGACGCUGAGACGCGAAAGCGUGGGGAGCGAACAGG